rnacentral:rRNA from 1 species
UACGGGGGGGGCAAGCGUUGUUCGGAAUUACUGGGCGUAAAGCGCGUGUAGGCGGCUCUUCAAGUCGAGUGUGAAAGCUCCAGGCUUAACCUGGGAAUUGCGCUCGAUACUGUUGAGCUAGAGUGUGGAAGGGGCUACUGGAAUUCCGUGUGUAGCGGUGAAAUGCGUAGAUAUACGGAGGAACACCAGUGGCGAAGGCGGCUCACUGGACCGGUACUGACGCUGAGGCGCGAAAGCGUGGGGAGCGAACAGG